GGGCGCAAGYNCUGAUGCAGCCAUGCCGCGUGUAUGAAGAAGGCCUUCGGGUUGUAAAGUACUUUCAGCGGGGAGGAAGGCGUUGAGGUUAAUAACCUCAGCGAUUGACGUUACCCGCAGAAGAAGCACCGGCUAACUCCGUGCCAGCAGCCGCGGUAAUACGGAGGGUGCAAGCRUWAAUMGGAAUUACUGGGCGUAAAGCGCACGCAGGCGGUCUGUCAAGUCGGAUGUGAAAUCCCCGGGCUCAACCUGGGAACUGCAUUCGAAACUGGCAGGCUAGAGUCUUGUAGAGGGGGGUAGAAUUCCAGGUGUAGCGGUGAAAUGCGUAGAGAUCUGGAGGAAUACC
rnacentral:rRNA from 1 species